rnacentral:rRNA from 1 species
AACGUAGGUGGCGAGCGUUAUCCGGAUUUACUGGGCGUAAAGCGUGUGCAGGCGGGGCUCCAAGUGGUGUAUGAAAUUUCCCAGCUUAACUGGGAGAGGUUAUGCCAGACUGGAGUUCUAGAGUGCGAGAGAGGGGCGUGGAAUUCCGGGUGUAGUGGUGAAAUGCGUAGAGAUCCGGAGGAACCCCAGAGGCGAAGGCGGCGCCCUGGCUCGCAACUGACGCUCAGACACGACAGCAUGGGGAGCGAACGGG